rnacentral:rRNA from 1 species
AUUGAACGCUGGCGGCAGGCCUAACACAUGCAAGUCGAACGGUAGCACAGAGAGCUUGCUCUCGGGUGACGAGUGGCGGACGGGUGAGUAACGUCUGGGAAACUGCCCGAUGGAGGGGGAUAACUACUGGAAACGGUAGCUAAUACCGCAUAACGUCGCAAGACCAAAGUGGGGGACCUUCGGGCCUCACACCAUCGGAUGUGCCCAGAUGGGAUUAGCUAGUAGGUGGGGUAAUGGCUCACCUAGGCGACGAUCCCUAGCUGGUCUGAGAGGAUGACCAGCCACACUGGAACUGAGAAACGGUCCAGACUCCUACGGGAGGCAGCAGUGAGGAAUAUUGCACAAUGGGCGCAAGCCUGAUGCAGCCAUGCCGCGUGUAUGAAGAAGGCCUUCGGGUUGUAAAGUACUUUCAGCGGGGAGGAAGGCGGUGAAGUUAAUAACUUCACCGAUUGACGUUACCCGCAGAAGAAGCACCGGCUAACUCCGUGCCAGCCGCCGCAGUAA